AUUGAACGCUGGCGGCAGGCCUAACACAUGCAAGUCGAGCGGAUGAAGGGAGCUUGCUCCUGGAUUCAGCGGCGGACGGGUGAGUAAUGCCUAGGAAUCUGCCUGGUAGUGGGGGAUAACGUCCGGAAACGGGCGCUAAUACCGCAUACGUCCUGAGGGAGAAAGUGGGGGAUCUUCGGACCUCACGCUAUCAGAUGAGCCUAGGUCGGAUUAGCUAGUUGGUGGGGUAAAGGCCUACCAAGGCGACGAUCCGUAACUGGUCUGAGAGGAUGAUCCGUCACACUGGAACUGAGACACGGUCCAGACUCCUACGGGAGGCAGCAGUGGAGAAUAUUGGACGAUGGGCGAAAGCCUGAUCCAGCCAAGCCGCGUGUGUGAAGAAGGUCCUCGGAUUGUAAAGCACUUUAAGUUGGGAGGAAGGGCAGUAAGUUAAUACCUUGCUGUUUUGACGUUACCAACAGAAUAAGCACCGGCUAACUUCGUG
rnacentral:rRNA from 1 species